rfam:Gammaproteobacteria bacterium RIFCSPHIGHO2_12_FTLL_37_14 rifcsphigho2_12_scaffold_551, whole genome shotgun sequence.
GCGGGUGUAGUUCAAUGGUAGAACGGGAGCUUCCCAAGCUCUUAGUGUGGGUUCGAUUCCCAUCACCCGCU